CAGACACACACAUGCUCUCAACUCUCUCUCACUAGAAAUAAGUCCGGCGAGAAUUCCGGCCGACUCCCGGCGGAGCUCCGGCGACCGGCGACUUUCCGGCGGAGUUCCGGCAACCGACGAUUUUCCGGCGAAUUUUCCGGCGGCCGUUUUUCGGCCAAGAGUACACUUUUUCGACUAUAUCCGACGUUCCGGAUCGCGUGGUGAGAUGCUUAGAUCGGGACUUGAGGAGCAUUUCUGCAAAUUUUCAAGAAAUUUUAUUCUCCGGCGAAAUUCCGACUUCUGACAUGGUUUUGGCGAGGUUCCAACCGUCCGUUUUCGACGAAAAUUAUAUUUUUGGGCUCCUAGUGACCCGUAGAGUCCAUACGAAACACUUUCGUCUCGGGUGAAAAUUUAAGUUCGGGACGCUCUCGGGCUCGGGUCAACGCGGUCAACAGGUCAAACACGGGUCAAGAGGCAGUUUUGGGUCAUUUUUAGUGCCUCGGUUCAGUUUCGGGUCCGGUCAACCCUGGUCAACACGGGUCAAAGGUGGUCAAAGCUGGUCAAAGGUGGUCAAAGCUGGUCAAACUCAGUCAACUGCUGGUCAACACGGGUCAAACGUGGUCAAAGCUGGUCAAAGCUGGUCAAACUCAGUCAACUGCUGGUCAACACAGUCAACUAAGUCAACACGAGGCUCGGUAAAAUUUAAACGAUGCGAAUUUUGUUAUAUUAUUUAUAUAAAUACUAAUUUAACGCGAAACCGAGCUCAAACCGAACCGACUAAUGAAAACGACAAAUAUUAUACGAGCUCGACCCGACUAGCGAAUUGACACUUAGUGACUUGGUUUUAAAUAUUUAGUGUUUUGAUAUAUUUCACGUAAA